rnacentral:rRNA from 1 species
GACGAGGGGUCCUAGCGUUGUUCGGAUUCAUUGGGCGUAAAGCGUAUGUAGGCGGCCUUUUAAGUCAGGUGUGAAAUCCCAUGGCUCAACCAUGGAAUUGCAUUUGAAACUGGAAGGCUUGAAUGUGGGAGAGGUUGGUAGAAUACCUGGUGUAGUGGUGAAAUACGUAGAUAUCAGGUGGAAUACCGGCGGCGAAGGCGGCCAACUGGCCCAACAUUGACGCUGAGAUACGAAAGCGUGGGGAUCAAACAGG